rnacentral:rRNA from 1 species
CACCAGGUCAGGACACGGUAAGGAUUGACGGACUGAAGGCUCUUUCUCGAUUCCGUGGAAAGUGGUGCAUGGUCCGUUUUUGGUUGGUGGAUCGAUCCGUCUGGUUAAUUCCGUUAACGAACGAGACCUCGGCACUCCGAAUAGCGCGGCGGACGUCGCGGCCUCCGGGCCGUCUUCCGCACGAGCUUCUUAGAGGGACCGUCCCCCGCCGGGGAAGGAGGUGCGAGGCAACGACAGGUCUGUGAUGCCCUUAGAUGUUCUGGGCCGCACGCGCAUUACACUGACGCGUCCAACGGGUGACUCCCGACCCGAAGGGGCCGGGAAUCCGCAAGGCGCGUCGUGAUGGGGAUUGAACGUUGCAAUUGUUGUUCACGAACGAGGAAUUCCUAGUAGGCGCGGGUCAUCAACCCGCGCCGAUUACGUCCCUGCCCUUUGUACACACCGCCC